CUUCCUCCCAUUCUGUCCACCUGCCCCAGUGCCUCAGGGCAGGAGAGGAUAGUCUCAGGCCUGAUGGGGAAGGUAAGUUCCUCCUGCACACUUAUUUCUGGUUCCAGGUUGU